UACGUAGGGGGCAAGCGUUGUCCGGAAUUAUUGGGCGUAAAGAGCGUGUAGGCGGUCCGGUAAGUCAGCUGUGAAAGUCAAGGGCUCAACCUUGAAUGCCGGUUGAUACUGUCGGGCUAGAGUCCGGAAGAGGAGAGUGGAAUUCCUGGUGUAGCGGUGAAAUGCGCAGAUAUCAGGAAGAACACCCGUGGCUAAGGCGGCUCUCUAGUACGGUACUGACGCUGAGACGCGAAAGCGUGGGGAGCGAACAGG
rnacentral:rRNA from 1 species